rnacentral:rRNA from 1 species
UACGUAGGGUGCAAGCGUUAAUCGGAAUUACUGGGCGUAAAGCGUGCGCAGGCGGUUGGUUAAGUCUGAUGUGAAAGCCCCGGGCUCAACUUGGGAAUGGCAUUGGAAACUGGCUGGCUAGAGUGUGGCAGAGGGGGGUGGAAUUCCGCGUGUAGCAGUGAAAUGCGUAGAGAUGCGGAGGAACACCGAUGGCGAAGGCAGCCCCCUGGGCUGACACUGACGCUCAGGCACGAAAGCGUGGGGAGCAAACAGG